rnacentral:rRNA from 1 species
CGUCCCUACGGGACGCAGCAGUGGGGGAUAUUGCACAAUGGGGGAAACCCUGAUGCAGCGACGCCGCGUGGGUGAAGAAGCGCCUCGGCGCGUAAAGCCCUGUCAGCAGGGAAGAAAAUGACGGUACCUGAAGAAGAAGCCCCGGCUAACUACGUGCCAGCAGCCGCGGUAAUACGUAGGGGGCAAGCGUUAUCCGGAUUCACUGGGUGUAAAGGGAGCGUAGACGGCGACGCAAGUCUGGAGUGAAAGCCCGGGGCCCAACCCCGGGACUGCUCUGGAAACUGCGGCGCUGGAGUA